UAAUACGGAGGGUGCAAGCGUUAUCCGGAAUCACUGGGUUUAAAGGGUGCGUAGGCGGUUUGAUAAGUCAGUUGUGAAAUACCCCGGCUUAACCGGUGGUCGUGCGAUUGAUACUGUUGAACUUGAAUGAGGUUGAGGUAGGCGGAAUGUGGCAUGUAGCGGUGAAAUGCAUAGAUAUGCCAUAGAACACCGAUUGCGAAGGCAGCUUGCUGGGCCUGAAUUGACGCUGAGGCACGAAAGCGUGGGGAGCAAACAGG
rnacentral:rRNA from 1 species